rnacentral:rRNA from 1 species
UACGGGGGGGCAAGCGUUGUUCGGAAUUACUGGGCGUAAAGGGCUCGUAGGCGGCCAACUAAGUCCGACGUGAAAUCCCCAGGCUUAACCUGGGAACUGCGUCGGAUACUUGGAUGGCUUGAAUUCGGGAGAGGGAUGCAGAAUUCCAGGUGUAGCGGUGAAAUGCGUAGAUAUACUGGAGGAAUACCGGUGGCGAAGGCGGCAUCCUGGACCGACAUUGACGCUGAUGAGCGAAAGCUAGGGGAGCAAACGGG